rnacentral:rRNA from 1 species
UAUAGACCCGAAACCCGGUGAUCUAGCCAUGGGCAGGUUGAAGGUUGGGUAACACUAACUGGAGGACCGAACCGACUAAUGUUGAAAAAUUAGCGGAUGACCUGUGGCUGGGGGUGAAAGGCCAAUCAAACCGGGAGAUAGCUGGUUCUCCCCGAAAGCUAUUUAGGUAGCGCCUCGUGAAUUCAUCUCCGGGGGUAGAGCACUGUUUCGGCUAGGGGGCCAUCCCGGCUUACCAACCCGAUGCAAACUGCGAAUACCGGAGAAUGUUAUCACGGGAGACACACGGCGGGUGCUAACGUCCGUCGUGAAGAGGGAAACAACCCAGACCGCCAGCUAAGGUCCCAAAGUCAUGGUUAAGUGGGAAACGAUGUGGGAAGGCCCAGACAGCCAGGAUGUUGGCUUAGAAGCAGCCAUCAUUUAAAGAAAGCGUAAUAGCUCACUGGUCGAGUCGGCCUGCGCGGAAGAUGUAACGGGGCUAAACCAUGCACCGAAGCUGCGGCAGCGACACUGUGUGUUGUUGGGUAGGGGAGCGUUCUGUAAGCCUGUGAAGGUGUGUCGUGAGGC